UAAAAAAUGUGAAAAUAAAUCCUAUCUAACCUACUCUAAUCCUAACUACGCUCCUGUGCUUUACCCGAUGCCUUGGACCUUCAUCACGAAUGUCCCUCCAACAUAGUACUUCGGGGCAUUCCCCGAUGAAUAAAUACAAUGUGUCUCGGGGCAUUCCCCGGCUAAAUGAAUACAUUUGAAUUAAACACGAUAAACUAGAAAGAAACAUUCACAUGCACAUUCAAUCAUUCAACCAAAACAAGUUCUAAAAUUUGCCUACCCGAACCUAUAUUAC
rnacentral:lncRNA from 1 species